rnacentral:rRNA from 1 species
UACGUAGGGGGCAAGCGUUGUCCGGAUUUAUUGGGCGUAAAGAGCGUGUAGGCGGCUUUACAGGUCCGUUGUGAAAACUCGAGGCUCAACCUCGAGACGCCGGUGGAAACCGUAAAGCUAGAGUCCGGAAGAGGAGAGUGGAAUUCCUGGUGUAGCGGUGAAAUGCGCAGAUAUCAGGAAGAGCACGCGUGGCGAAGGCGGCUCUCUGGGACGGUACUGACGCUGAGACGCGAAAGCGUGGGGAGCGAACAGG